GGCGGCAGGCCUAACACAUGCAAGUCGAGCGAGACCUUCGGGUCUAGCGGCGGACGGGUUAGUAACGCGUGGGAACGUGCCCUUCUCUGCGGAAUAGCCACUGGAAACGGUGAGUAAUACCGCAUACGCCCUUCCGGGGGAAAGAGUUUAUCGGAGAAGGAUCGGCCCGCGUUAGAUUAGAUAGUUGGUGGGUAACGGCCUACCAAGUCUACGAUCUAUAGCUGGGUUUUAGAGGAUGAUCAGCAACACUGGGACUGAGACACGGCCCAGACUCCUACGGGAGGCAGCAGUGGGGAAUCUUAGACAAUGGGCGCAAGCCUGAUCUAGCCAUGCCGCGUGUGUGAUGAAGGUCUUAGGAUCGUAAAGCACUUUCGCCAGGGAUGAUAAUGACAGUACCUGGUAAAGAAACCCCGGCUAACUCCGUG
rnacentral:rRNA from 1 species